rnacentral:rRNA from 1 species
UGAGUAACGCGUGGGUAACCUACCCCAAAGUCCGGGAUAACAGCGGGAAACCGCUGCUAAUACCGGAUGUCUUUACCUUGGGGCAUCUUGAGGUAAAGAAAGGCAACGCUUUGGGAUGGGCCCGCGUCCCAUUAGCUAGUUGGUGAGGUAACGGCUCACCAAAGCGACGAUGGGUAGCCGGCCUGAGAGGGUGGACGGCCACACUGGGACUGAGACACGGCCCAGACUCCUACGGGAGGCAGCAGUAGGGAAUAUUGCGCAAUGGACGGAAGUCUGACGCAGCGACGCCGCGUGAGCGAUGAAGGUCUUCGGAUCGUAAAGCUCUGUCCUUGGGGAAGAAGGCGAAAGCUUGACGGUACCCAAGAAGAAAGCCCCGGCUAACUACGUGCCAGCAGCCGCGGUAAUACGUAGGGGGCGAGCGUUGUCCGGAAUUACUGGGCGUAAAGGGUGCGUAGGCGGCCCUUUAAGUCGGAUGUGAA